rnacentral:lncRNA from 1 species
GAUGAUGAGUUGUAGAUAUUACAAUUCCUUUGGCUUGUAGAGUUAGGCUGCAUUUGAUAAUGAAAUAAUGUUUAGAAGAACAAAUAUUUUUAUUCUCAGAUAUAUGGUCUAUUCUAGGAUAAAGAAGAAUAAAAUAAAUUUCGUGUUGGGUAUAAAAUUCUCUUAUUCAAAAGAAUAAGAAAAUUUAUGUUUGAAAAUUUUUUAAAAAUAGUAGGGAAUAGUAGAAAACAUAAAUUUAAUAUUUCUAAAAUACCAAUAUUGUC